CUGUGUUUGAACUGUUGCUACGUGCUGGAGUAUGGUUGCACCGCAGUGCUAUGGUCGGACCCGAGGAUUCUGGAUGGCUCUGCAAUCUACCUUCAGCAUCAAAGACUCGAGCUGGAGGCACGGGACAUUGAUUCUAAACGGUAUAAAUUGCAGCCCAUCAACACAAAAACAAGAACAGCAAAACCAAAGG